UACGUAGGGGGCAAGCGUUGUCCGGAAUCAUUGGGCGUAAAGAGCGUGUAGGCGGUCCGGUCAGUCGGUUGUGAAAGUCAAGGGCUCAACCCUUGAAUGCCGGCCGAUACUGCCGGGCUAGAGUCCGGAAGAGGUGAGUGGAAUUCCAGGUGUAGCGGUGAAAUGCGUAGAUAUCAGGAGGAACACCGGUGGCGAAGGCGGGUCUCUGGGCAGUAACUGACGCUGAGGAGCGAAAGCGUGGGGAGCGAACAGG
rnacentral:rRNA from 1 species